ACAAAGUUUAGACCCAUAAAUUUUGAAGGUCUAGCUACCAUAUUAUUACCCACAAGGGUAAAGGAACAGUACCACUGCUGGAUAAUUGGAAAGUCCCUGUGUGUCAACCUCUGUGCUUCGUGGCAAGGUAGACUAGCAAACAUGCCCAACCUUUACUCACAUUCGAGAAAACACUCCCAAUAAGAUUGCUUGCUCCAAAAUCGAAGAGGCACCGUCCUCCGAAUCUCGAGAGCCAGACUCCCAACAUGACUACUUUCUUAAAAAUCGAAGAGAGGGUAAAGGAACAGUACCAUUGCUGGAUAAUUGGAAAGUCCCUGUGUGUCAACCUCUGUGCUUCGUAGCAAGGUAGACUAGCAAACAUGCCCAACCUUUACUCACAUUCGAGAAAACACUCCCAACAAGAUUGCUUGCUCCAAAAUCGAAGAGGCACCGCCCUUCGAAUCUCGAGAGCCAGACUCCCAACAUGAUUACUUUCUCAAAAAUCGAAGAGACACUGCUCCCCGAAUCUCCAGAGCCAGACCCCCAGCAUGAUUGCUUUUUCAAAAAUCGAAGAGGCAUCGUUCUCCGAAUCUCGAGAGCCAGAUACCACAGACCACUUUUUCAAAGUGCUCUG
rnacentral:lncRNA from 1 species